GGACGAACGGCUGGCGGCGUGCUAACUACAUGCGAAGUCGAACGGGGUGGCCCAUGAAGGAGGAAUUUCGGUCUAACGGAUUGGGUUACGUUAGUGGCGGACGGGUGGAGUAACGACGUGAGGAACCUGCCUUUCAGAGGGGACGAACAGUUGGAAACGACUGCUAAUACCGCAUAACAUGUAGGUGUCGCAUGGCAUUUACAUCAAAGAUUUAUCGCUGAGAGAUGGCCUCGCGUCUGAUUAGCUAGUUGGCAGGGUAACGGCCGUACCAAGGCGACGAUCAGUAGCCGGACUGAGGGGUUGGCCGGCCACAUUGGGACUGAGAUACGGCCCAGACUCCUACGGGAGGCAGCAGUGGGGAAUAUUGGGCAAUGGGCGCAAGCCUGACCCAGCAACGCCGCGUGAAGGAAGAAGGCUUUCGGGUUGUAAACUUCUUUUGUCAGGGAAGAGUAGAAGACGGUACCUGACGAAUAAGCCGCGGCUAACUACGUG
rnacentral:rRNA from 1 species